rnacentral:lncRNA from 1 species
UGAUCUGAUUUUUAUUUUGUAGAGAUCAAUCUGUGCUAUGUGGAGAACUGACUGCUACUUGGAAGAGUGAAGAUAGAAGGUGGAUGGUGGUCCUGGUGAACGACGUCUUCAACCUCAGGGAACUCUAUUAGGAGGAGAGGAAAAAUAUAUGAGGAUUCUUUACUGCUGGUACCACACAGCAAGCCCAAAACAAUGAGAAUCUGCUCUGACUAAAAUUAACAACCAGGCACAAGCUGCCACUGCUGGCUCCCCAGCUCCUGAGGUUAACAAAUACACAUGGAGUAUGUGCAUCAUACUCCAUAGGCUUGGUGGCAGGAACAAUGGAAGAUACAAGGGUGACUAAGGCCACUGUGGAAACUUCUCUCAAAGAGCCACCUGCUUAGUGCACGAAGGCAACUGCACACAUCACUUGCUACAGCCUAACAUACUAGGAGAUCAUCAGCAUCAUAAAGUCUUAGUGGAACAAAAACCAGG